CAUGCAGCAGAAAUAAUUGUUCUCGGUUGGGAUAAACCAGGAGGGCUUCCCAGGGGAGGUGACAUGUGAGGGAGAUCAGAAUGGAGGCGUCCCAGGACAUAACUUUUCUAACUAACUUAGCUAGAGUGGGGACCACAGGGGAUCCAGAGUAUGUUAUUGUCUCACUUUGCUGAUUUUUCUCAUCUCAGUAAAUGCAGAGGACAGUUGCAGAGCCAUGACACCCUGUUGACUUGGGAGAUGAAGGUGACCUUGCAGCCCCAGCAACCAGAUACCGGACUCCCAGGCUCCCAAAGGGACAUUGUCCAUAGGAGCUUAAAAAGUGAAGUCAUCAGUUUCCUAGCUUCAAAAUUCAAAAGCCUCAUUCCAGGCACAGAUGGGCUGGAAGAAGUUACACUCAGAGCCCAGUCUGCAAUUUCAAACCUACGGCAGAAGAAUUGCACUUGACCAUGUGAUGACAACAAUUGAGCCACCCAGCUUAGAGCCAGAGAUGGGGAGCCUCACAUCGAGGAUGGCAGAGACAUCUCACCAGCUUGGGCACUCCAGGGAGAGAUGCAGAGCUCCCUCCUGCUCUGGACUGCGAUGUAUCUUGCAUGAGCACCUCUCAUUGAAGAACCUACUGUGUAACCCCGCUGGUCACAGAGGCUGAGAAAUGCAGCAUCCACAUUUCCAGUCUCUGCAGUAGAGGAGAUGGUACAGAAAAGAGCAAGAGAUUGUCUAGCACACAUUGUCUACUCUGGAUGCCACAUUGACAUUUCUCCCAGCGUUUUCAUAUAAAAUUAGUUGAGCUGACUUAGAAAUGACCACACUGGUGAGUUUCAAUGUAAGUUGCACAUACAUAAA
rnacentral:lncRNA from 10 species